CGUGUGAUUGGUACUGCAUCAACAGCGAUUAUAAGUAUAUAACUAUAUAACUACAUAUACAUAUUCCUCUUUCAUACCGCUUGCGAUUUUAUACUAAACACAGCUUCAUUCAGUGUCGGUACAUCAAGCCAAUAGCGUGGUUGUACAUUUAAGUAUAUCAAGUUUUUCAAAGAACCGAGAUAUGACUAAACCGGAGGAAGCGUGCGGAUCCACUGGUCCCUCUAUGACUAAAGAGGGCAAUAAUACAAGCAAGAAGAAUUCUCAUUGCAACGGAUUGAACCCUCAAAAUAUGUUCCUGGCUACCAAAUACCACAACAACAUGCCUGACACGGUUGUCAUCCUACACUUCGAUGAUUUGCUGAUGAGAGAAUUAUUUAGUCGGAAAAAAACAAAGUAACCACGAAGUAAUAAUUCAGCUAAGAAUUAAUAAAUCUCGCCUACUUUCUAAUUAUUUUUUAUGCUCUUAAAAUUGGUAAGUAUUACUAUUUAAAUUGGUUUCGGCCGAAAAUCAAACGUUUAGAUCUCUUUUUGAAAAUACUCUUAAAUUUUUGUAACUAAUAAUUAAAAUGAAUGUGCUAUAAGUGUGUA
rnacentral:lncRNA from 1 species